rnacentral:rRNA from 1 species
AGCAGCCGCGGUAAUUCCAGCUCCAAUAGCGUAUAUUAAAGUUGUUGCAGUUAAAAAGCUCGUAGUUGAAUUUCGGGAUUGACACAUCGGUCGUGCCUUAAGGGGUAUGAACUGGUGUAGUCAAUUUCUCACCUUCUGGAGAACCGCGAUGCCCUUAAUUGGGUGUCGCGGGGAACCAGGACCUUUACUUUGAAAAAUUAGAGUGUUUAAAGCAGGCAUUUUGCUUGAAUACAUUAGCAUGGAAUAAUAAAAUAGGACGGCAUGAUUCUAUUUUGUUGGUUUCUAGGAUCACCGUAAUGAUUAAUAGGGAUAGUUGGGGGCAUUAGUAUUCAAUUGUCAGAGGUGAAAUUCUUGGAUUUAUUGAAGACUAACUACUGCGAAAGCAUUUGCCAAGGAUGUUUUCAUUAAUCAAGAACGAAAGUUAGGGGAUCGAAGACGAUCAGAUACCGUCGUAGUCUUAACCAUAAACUAUGCCGACUAGGGAUCGGAUGAUGUUAAUUUUUAAUGUACUCAUUCGCGU